rnacentral:rRNA from 1 species
GUCAACCUGCCCAGUGAAUAACUUUUUCAACGGCCGCGGUAUCCUAACCGUGCAAAGGUAGCAUAAUCACUUGUCCCUUAAAUGAGGACUUGUAUGAACGGUUAAAUGAGGGCCUAACUGUCUCCUGUGACCAAUCAAUGAAAUUGAUCUUGCAGUACAAACGCUGCAAUAUACCUAUAAGACGAGAAGACCCUGUGGAGCUUUAAACCCAUACACUAACUAUUUUCCUAUUAACAUUAUUUAGCAUAGUGUAAAUUUUAAGUUGGGGCGACUAUGGAGCAAAAAAAACCCUCCAUGAAACACGGCUAACCCCCGUCUCAACAGGCCAACAAGCCUAAUUAAAACUGAACGACCCAGUUCAAACUGAAUAUCGAACCAAGUUACCCCAGGGAUAACAGCGCCAUCCCCUUAAAGAGUCCACAUCGCCAAGGGGGUUUACGACCUCGAUGUUGGAUCAGGACCCCCCAGUGGUGAAGCCGCUACUAAAGGUUCGUUUGUUCAACGAA